CCUACGGGUGGCUGCAGUGGGGAAUAUUGGGCAAUGGAGGCAACUCUGACCCAGCAACGCCGCGUGAGUGAUGCAGGUCUUCGGAUUGUAAAACUCUUUAAGUGGGGACGAAGAAAGUGACUCUACCCACAGAAUAAGCCGCGGCUAACUACGUGCCAGCAGCCGCGGUAAUACGGAGGAUGCGAGCGUUAUCCGGAUUUAUUGGGUUUAAAGGGUGAGUAGGCGGAAUAUCAAGUCAGCGGUAAAAAUUCGGGGCUCAACCCCGUCGUGCCGUUGAAACUGAUGUUCUUGAGUGGGCGAGAAGUAUGCGGAAUGCGUGGUGUAGCGGUGAAAUGCAUAGAUAUCACGCAGAACUCCGAUUGCGAAGGCAGCAUACCGGCGCCCAACUGACGCUGAAGCACGAAAGCGUGGGUAUCGAACAGGAUUAGAUACCCCUGUAGUC
rnacentral:rRNA from 1 species